UUUCAUGUUCAUUUUGCUAGGUUUUGAAAGCCAUUGGAGUAGACCCCAUCAAGGGGUUUAUAGAUUUUCAGGUGGUGGAAAAUGCAAAAAUCUAGGCAGAAACGGUGGCAGCCAUGAUACGAUUGGAUAUGAGUGAAUAUAUGGAGCGGCAAAGAAAGUAGUUGGCAAGAUUAAAGUGGAAGGUUAGUUUUCAAUGGUAUAAACCGAAUUUCAUGAUGUUUGGUGCAACCAACUGCACCCUAUGCUACACUUAUUUUCAUUGGUACAGAAAUUGUGAGUAAUAGU